rnacentral:rRNA from 1 species
GCCAUGCAUGUCUCAGUACAAGCCGAAUUAAGGUGAAACCGCGAAAGGCUCAUUAAAUCAGUUAUGGUUCCUUAGAUCGUACCCAUAUUUACUUGGAUAACUGUGGUAAUUCUAGAGCUAAUACAUGCAAACAGAGCUCCGACCGGAGACGGAAGGAGCGCUUUUAUUAGAUCAAAACCAAUCGGCGGCGGGCGCGAGCUCGUCGUCGUUCACUCUGGUGAAUCUGAAUAACUUUCUGCUGAUCGCACGGUCUAGCACCGGCGACGCAUCUUUCAAAUGUCUGCCUUAUCAACUGUCGAUGGUAGGUUCCGUGCCUACCAUGGUCGUAACGGGUAACGGGGAAUCAGGGUUCGAUUCCGGAGAGGGAGCCUGAGAAACGGCUACCACAUCCAAGGAAGGCAGCAGGCGCGCAAAUUACCCACUCCCGGCACGGGGAGGUAGUGACGAAAAAUAACGAUACGGGACUCAUCCGAGGCCCCGUAAUCGGAAUGAGUACACUCUAAACCCUUUAACGAGGAUCAAUUGGAGGGCAAGUCUGGUGCCAGCAGCCGCGGUAAUUCCAGCUCCAAUAGCGUAUAUUAAAGUUGUUGCGGUUAAAAAGCUCGUAGUCGAAUCUGUGUCUCGCGCCGCCGGUUCAUCGCUCGCGGUGUUUAACUGGCGUGUCCGCGAGACGUCCUGCCGGUGGGCUUAGCCCGCGAGGGNCGGCCCAACUUUAAAUCCCGCCGCGGUGCUCUUCAUUGAGUGUCGAGGCGGGCCGGCACGUUUACUUUGAACAAAUUAGAGUGCUUAAAGCAGGCUAAAACUUCGCCUGAAUACUGUGUGCAUGGAAWAAUGGAAUAGGACCUCGGUUCUAUUUUGUUGGUUUUCGGAACCCCGAGGUAAUGAUUAAUAGGAACGGAUGGGGGCAUUCGUAUUGCGACGUUAGAGGUGAAAUUCU